UUUCUUAGAUGGAGAGAGGAAGUACAAAAUGGAAUUACAAACGUAACCAGUUCUGUGCGUGUGAUGAGUAAGGAGUGGGCUCCAGGAGAGGCCAGAGGGAAAGGUCGUGGGGGCUUGACAGAAGAACUGAGAUAAGACCCUUGUCCUGGGAUGGGUUGUGGGUACAGCUUGUCAGUGUUUACAGGGAGGAUCUGGACAAAAGCCUAAGGUUUCUCUCAGGCUGUACCUCAGACCCUCCCUCCUGAUCCCUGUGUCUCCCCUUCUUCACACCAGCCCUGACCCACACACCUGACAUCCUCAUCCUGGAGACCUGGAGUCCAGCCACCCCAGGAACCUGACCUGCUCUGUGCCCUGGGUCUGUGUGUGGGGCACACCCCCCAUCUUCUCCUGGACAUCAGCUGCCCUCACUUCUAUGGGCCCCAGGACCCAAUUCUCCUCGGUGCUCACCCUCACCCCAUGGCCCCAGGACCAUGGCAUUAACCUCACCUGUCAGGUGAAGUUUCCCAUGGCUGGUGUGAUGAUGGAGAGAACUACCCAGCUCAACAUCACCUGUAAUAUAUUCACCUGGCCAAAAUUUCAAAAUGCACAGCAGAGUCUGUCUUCAGAUGCCCAGUCUCCUCCUGGGAAGUGACCAGUGUCCAUAGGCUGCUCUGAGCCUUGAUUUGUUCACCUAAAGGAUCUUAGGGGUCAUUUGACAUCAGUGGUACAGAAGUCGUCAUGCGUCCGUGACUGUGCAGGAUUCCAUGGCCUGGAUGGAUUCUGAUUCUGUACACACCUUCUGCUAAUACAAAAUUCCUGGCAUUAAGUUAUUCUACCAAUAAAAAAGCUGCAAUCAGUAA
rnacentral:lncRNA from 1 species